rnacentral:lncRNA from 1 species
GCACCUCUGCAUACCACAUCAUGGCGUCACAGACGAAGUCACCGAUGGGGGCCUGGCCCAGACGGAUAACGUUCUUGUCGGAAACCAGGGUGUGCGACAGAGUGCCCAGUGCGCAGGAGGCGGUGGAGGUGGGCGCCGCGGAGCAGAUGCCGCUGCUGCCGCCCAGGUCGCAGCGGUUGAUGCGGCCCUCGGCAGCAGCGUAGCCGGUGACCUGCAGGGACAGGAAGGAAGAGACAGGCAUGAGGUGCAGUUCGCACGAGCAGGGACUAAUAACAGGGAGCGCAAUGGGAAAGCGAGGGUCGUGUUGUACCACGUCUUAUCGCAGGAAAAGAACCGAUCGGCGGAUGACAGGGAGAUGAAGGCAAAAAUAGCAGGGCCGCUGGUGAAGCUAUACCACCCUGUAACAAUAUCAUAUAUACAUAAUGAUGUGUGAAACAGGGGGGUGUAUCUUCGCCCGUGACAGCUACCCUGCGAACCCUGCCUUCCCCGGUAUUUCGGGGCACCCUCAUCCAGUUACCCUAGUCAACUUCUCAGUGGAUCGCUCAGGUUCCGCACCAAACACCAGCAUCCAACGGAAUCUGCCGGGUCGACAGCGGGCCCAACUCCAUUCCUGGUUGGCUCGCAGGUUAACUUUAUCCCAGGUCACAACCAUCCAUCAGGGGCGCAAUACCUUCCACUAUCGGACAAAUUUUUGACCCUUACGGGUAUCGAUCCCGGGAUCUCCCGGGGGCAAUGGUUGCGCGUUACCAAUAGUGCCAAACCCUAGCAUAUACAUGAUGUAUACACACCUGCCUCUCCCUGAUCUAUAUAAUAAGCCUCACCACCCGGCCCGCCAUUAGACGCCACCGUUGAUCCGGCAAAGUCCACGGGAUAAUGCUGGUGGUGGGUGCUGAACCCCCAAACAUUCACUGACUUCGCAGAAGUCGCCACACAUGCGUGAUGAUGAGGAGGAUGAGGGUGGUGCCCCGAAACAUCGGGGAAGGUGCUUGGGGGACUGCCGGGCUAAUGGCCACGGGUGAAGUUGUUAUACCCCCCACUACUUCACACAAUCAGUGAUCGUGGUUUUUAGAAACUUACAGGCGAAUUGGACAGGAACUCUACCACGGCAUCCACGACGGCAGGUCCUUCGGCCAAGACCGUCUCGGCGGCCGCAAGGACCGCGUAGCCAUCACCACCUAGUCAGAUGGGCAUGGGGGGACCCGGCGGGGAAGGGCGGAAUGUGAGCUGCAUGAGGGAGGAUGCAUAUAACUGGUUCGAAAUGCGAAGAUGCGGUGCAACAUCACUGGCAGCGCAACGGCCCAGGGGAAAGCAACGAAAGAGAACCUCAUCGCGGGAACCUAUUCAUCCUUUUCAUUGCCAGCAGGGUUUAACACCCAACUGUUAUGUACCGUGCACUGUGGUCAUAUAUGUAUGUGUGUAGAAUCCUGGGCAUAUCAUGGGAUCUGCAUCCGCCGAUCGGUAUUUUCUGAAGCCGUGAUAUAACAAUAUGCACGUUUUUGCCAAGCUUCUCAAUGCGUUUCAUUUCCUAAUGAGAACAACCAUGCCUGUAUGUCUGUAAUGAGGCAUUUCCGUAUAAGCUUCCGCAUCUGUACACUUACCCGCUGCCAUAUAAUCGUUGGUCACCAAUGCAUACUUGGCGCAAGGAUCGAUGGGCGAGUACGAACCGUCAGCGUUCUUGACCUCGAUCGCCGACACGCGCUGGUUGACCGGCUUGGUUGCGUCGUACGCAAAACGGAAGCCGCCCACCUGUCGAAUAAGGUGCCACGGCGCACGCGGUGGCCAACAAGUUUUGCUUAAGACCAGUGAGCUUCAAUACGUACUGCUACGUAAUUUUUAUUCCACGAAGAUUCCUGUCCUUGCUGGAGGACAUCGUUACAGACUUCAGCUUUGGCCUUUAGUGCCGAGUUGGAAGCUACAUCCCCCAUCACACACCAGUCAAAGGCCCAGGGGUGUGGCUGCUACUGCUGACGCUGGUGAUAAUGCUGCCGCUGGCGGUACUGCUGACGCCGUUGGUAUUUUGCUGCUGCUACUGCUGUUCUUACUGGUGCUACAGCUACAGUUACAGUUACAGUUACUCCUACUGCUAGUGAUACUGCUAUUGUCACCGUUACUGUUAGUGUUGCUGCUGUUGCUGCCAACUGGCAACCCCACCUGUGCAAAUUGCCCGAGUGCCUCGCCCCCGGCAAUGUUGCCCGCCACGCUGUUCUCGAGAGCUGACUUGAGGCCCGUGACGGAAAUGCUCUUGACCACAAGGGUAUUGCCGAACGGCAGAGCGGCCGCGAUUUGACCUGCGGCAUAGGCAUUUUGCAGGGCGUUACGGUUUGACACUGUGCUUACAAAGUGCAUAGCGAUAUUGAUACUGCAUAUGUGUUAAGUGUGCUUGUUAUGUUUGUAUGUGUCAAUACGUGUACAUAUAAUAAUGCUUCCACAAAUAAUGACAAUAAUAGUAAUUGUAAUAAAUAAUAAUUAAUAUGACAGUUAUAAAUCUAAAAUACAUGUAAAAUACAACUUGAGGUGCGUUCAAAAAUGUAACAAGUGUGAGCCCGUGCGAGCCCAGCCAAGGGCCCAAGGGUCAGACAGAAGGCAGAUCGAGGUAACAAGAUUACAAACCGCACAUAAGGUAAUUAUUGGUCUGCUAAAGAAGGAAAGGGUGGGUUUAAAGCCAUAGCAGUGUGCAGUACGAGUGCAGUUAGAAGAUCGAGCGAAGAAGAUGGGCAGAGAAAAGAGAUGGAAUAACCAAGAUGUUAGGAACAUGAAACACCAUUCCACAAAUUUGAAGAAUGAACAGACGCCCCCUACGGAACGGGACACGUAGCCUUUUCCUUAGAGACGCUGUCUUUAAUGAAGACUGUGCCUCUUGUUUUGUUCAACAAUUUGUAGGACUAUGAAUUAUCGACCUACAAACGGUAGGGACAUGGUAGCUGGGAUGCAGUGCACAUACAUACAGCCCGCGCAAUGAGUACGGUGUUGUACAUUCAGCAUACCUCCGGUCACCAGUCCAGCAGGGAUGUCCGCGCGAAUCGAACCAGAGUUCACCAUGCACAAAUUCGGCCUCGCGCCUGUAGUCAUCUGUUCAUACACGCCACCGUGAGGAGGGAAGAUGGGGGCAAGGAGUAUGCGGGUGGGCUUCCGUUGGCCAAAACACACGAUUAUUUACGACAACACGUGUUCCCGUACACGUACUGCUGCACGCUGUACAAAACUAGAUUGCAGAACCACAGACACACACAGAGGAUAGCAUCACCCGAGUUGGUCCUGCAGGCCGUCUGGAUGCCCGAUGCGGGUUUUAGUACAUGCGGAUUUCGGAGCUGAUUUCACUUUUCCACAGGGCCCCCGGGGGUCCCGUCCUCCAUUACCACACGUGAACCUUCGCGCACCUCCGCAUACCACAUCAUGGCGUCACAGACGAAGUCACCGAUGGGGGCCUCGCCCAGGCGAACAGUGGCCUUGUCGGAAACCAGGGUGUGCGACAGAGUGCCCAGUGCGCAGGAGGCGGUGGAGGUGGGCGCCGCGGAGCAGAUGCCGCUGCUGCCGCCCAGGUCGCAGCGGUUGAUGCGGCCCUCGGCAGCAGCGUAGCCAGUGACCUGCAGGGACAGGAAGGAAGAGGCGUGAGGGCCAUCGGGCAUGAGGAAGACAUGUGUGAGAAGAGCUAAACAUUAGAGGGGAAGAAAAGAUGGGAGAAGGGAGGAACGUGUGCUACGAACGAAAGCAUGUGUGAUGGAGGUGGUCGGAGGCGGCUUAAGGAUAUGCCAGGAAUAGAGAUGAUAAUCGCGAGAUCAUACGAUCAAAUCUUGCUUGAAACAAGACAAAUCAGGGAUAUCAGCGUUAUAAUCCUAUGCGCUGUCCAGGGAUCAAGUAGUAUGAUCAGCCCGAGAUAAGUUCUCAAUGUUGCCUUCGACAUCUGUCUGCGGAUUGAAACGUUCUCCCUCCAAACACAAGCCAUUGAACCAUUUCAAGGUGGAUUACAUGGCGCCGGCGUGAACUUUGCUACGUUAUGCACCACCCUCGUAGUGCGUGAUCCCCAUCACCAGCAGGGGUGAAAUACAAAUGAGAUUAUUCAGUAGGAACAAUAAUGCAGUUGCACUGACCAAAGCUUGGCGUGGGUUAAGGCCGGGGCUCGGGAAUUGAGGGGUAUUUCUGCCCCUAUAUGCCCCUGGGCAACAUCCACUAGGAUAACGCACUUUAAACAAGCACACAAGCACACAUGCAUACACACUAACUUGCGAGCUGACCAGGAACUAAGUUGAGGCGCCGUUGAUCCGCUAGAUUUGGUUGGAUGCUGGUGGUGAGUUGGGAACCCAACGAAUACACUCUGAAUUUGGAUGGGGUGAAUGGAUUAGGGUGCCCCUCUCGCAGGGGAGAGCAGGGAACUGCCUCGGGAAAGGGGGCCGCUGGUGAAGCUUAACCACCCUGUAACAACAUACACAUCCUGCACGCCUCUUGUCCUUCUCCCUCCAUCCCCUACUCGGCCGCAUGCUCGGGUCACACUGAUUUACCAGGCUGGCGCAAAAUCAAUCAGCAAGUAAGGGUUGUAUUCAUAAUAAAAAAAACUCACGGGUGACGUGUACGACAGGAAUUCCUCCACAGCCUCCACAGCAAAAAGCCCCGUCUCCGCUACCGUCUGCGCCGCCCUGAUGGUUAGGUAGCCAUCGCCGCCUGACCAGAGGGAGUGGGGAGGGCCGGGGAAGGGCGGAGAGGGAUAGGAAAGGUAUGGAAUGUAAGGGUGUAUUGGUAGGCCAACAUCAACCCGCAUGGCAUUACAGACCCUAGCACAAGAUCGUGCUAUGCUAGCACAAGAUAGUGCUAUGCUAGCACAAGAUAGUGCUAUGCUAGCACAAGAUAGGGCUAUGCUAGCACAAGAUAGGGCUAUGCUAGCACACGAUACUGUGCUAGGGGGCUCAACAACUCGGCAUCAGGCCCCAAAGCAGCAGCAGUAGCUGCAGCAGCUGCGAAUCCAGUAUGACCCACAGCAGUUUGAAAGUCAGCGGAGGAGGUCAACAGAAGGACAACUUAGGCAGAUGGUGGUUUCUCGCUUUCAAAGAAAGGUCGUAGUGACAGCAGUGUAACAACCAACACGCUGGGCGACGCUGCCAUCACCUGUGUCAACGGGUAUCCUAAUAUUAGGGCAACCACCGCAUCUAGGCCGUACAGCUGUACGGAGCCCGUUGCAAAAGGCCGUGGGAUUCACAGUGUUACCCUAAUAUGUACGGCAGCUGAUGGGUAGCGACGCUACCAUGGUGUGUGUGUAUAUAACAUCACUAGCAGGCACGUGAUGUGUUCUUUUGUCGCCGUCAUACUGCUUGUGUGCCGCCGAUGAUGUUUAUGUGGCCCCCCAACCCCCAUGCUCUUUGUGCCGUUCAAGCCGUACACUUACCCGCCGCCAUAUAAUCGUUGGUCACCAAGGCAUACUUGGCGCAAGGAUCGAUGGGCGAGUACGAACCGUCCGCGUUCGCAACCUCGAUCGCCGACACGCGCUGGUUGCGCGGCUUGGUGGCGUCGUACGCAAAACGGAAGCCGCCCACCUGUCGAAUGAUGUGAAAGCAUGUAGUUACAUUAAAAAACACAGGAAGCUGAGGAAAGCCUUUGUGCACGACCCGGGUGUUUUUUGAGCCUGCUAUUAAGACUACUGCUACCAUCAGCCGUUUCAUUUAUCAAACAGUCGUGCACGCAUAAACGCCGGUACGGCAGACGGCGUCAGGGCAAGAGCUUUGCCCGAGCUUUUUGAGGGAGAACCCGUAGUCUCGUUGAGCUGAUAAUGUCUGUUCCGUCAUUUUCUUCUUAAACUGUAUUUAACUUAAGCAGUGCCGUACAUAUUUCACCACCGGUUUCUUCACGCGGCCCUAAGGUUGGGCACCGGUACCGAUCAGCGGCCCGCCUGGUGUCGCGGUCUUAAAGGAACACCCCAUCGCAGGACGGAUGCGGUUAAUAGUGCCAACUGCCUACUGCCAACUGCCAACUGCCAACUGCCAAAUCGCAGUACGGAAAUGUACAAGUACCAUAGCCUAGUGUCGCCGUCAUGUACCUCGUACACGGCCACCUCACCUGUGCAAACUGCCCGAGGGCCUCGCCCCCGGCAAUGUUGCCCUCAACGCUGUUCUCGAGAGCCGAUUUGAGGCCCGUGACGGAAAUGCUCUUGACCACAAGGGUAUUGCCGUACGGCAGGGCGGCAGCGAUUUGGCCUGCGGUUAGGUGUUUUUAUGUUAUUUUGCACAACACCGUUUUAUUUUAAGUAAUGCAACACUGACACUGUUUUCUGUGUGUGCUGCUAGUUCGGACCGUGUGUUGCAUGAACUGCAUGGGAAUUGUGUCUGUAUUGCGUGACCUUGUCUCCGAUAUGUAAGUGGAGACGGUGGGUGCAUGGUAGCUGCGAUGCAGUGUACAUAUUUAGAACAUGCCUACUGUGUACGACGUCGUACAUUCAGCAUACCUCCGGUCACCAGUCCAGCAGGGAUGUCCGCGCGAAUUGAACCAGAGUUCACCAUGCACAACUUCGGCCGCACGCCUGUAGUCAUCUGUUCAUAGACGCCACAGUUACAGGAAAAGGAGGGAACAGGGGGGCCAAGAGAUAUGCGGGUGGGUUUCCGUUGGCCAAAACACACACACACGAUCAUUUACGACAACUUACAUAUGUUCCCGUGAACAAAAUGCCGCACACUGUACAAAACUCGAUUGCAGAACCACAGACACACAUAGAGGAUAGCAUCAGCCGAGUUGGUCCUGCAGGCCGUCUGGAUGCCCGAUGCGGGUUUUAGAACAUGCGGAUUCGGAGCUGAUUUCACGUUUUUCACAGGGCCCCAGGGGUCCCGUCCUCCAUUACCACACGUGAACCUUCGCGCACCUCGGCAUACCACAUCAUGGCGUCACAGACGAAGUCACCGAUGGGGGCCUCGCCCAGGCGAACAGUGGCCUUGUCGGAAACCAGGGUGUGCGACAGAGUGCCCAGUGCGCAGGAGGCGGUGGAGGUGGGCGCCGCGGAGCAGAUGCCGCUGCUGCCGCCCAGGUCGCAGCGGUUGAUGCGGCCCUCGGCAGCAGCGUAGCCGGUGACCUGCAGGGACAGGAAGAGGGAGCCGUGAGGGCCAUCGGGCAUGAGAAAGACGCGUGUGUGUGCACUGCGGCUCCAACCGCCCCACAUACAACGUAAUCACUAGUCACGCCAUACGUGCUUUAGACGCUAUAAAUGUUUAGACGCUAUACCUAUCUACCAUACAGGAUAUGCUCGGUACGCGACUUAUCGUACACGCGGCAUAUGCUACAUAUCCUACAUAUGCUACAUAUGCUACACAAGGGUUAUAGCGUAUAAGCGACCUAUGAGACACCAGAGGCACACUCGGUAGCAACAGCGGUAAAAGUACACGUUCCAAAGCCUGGCGUGAAUGGGGGCGCGGGGACCUGCUGAGGGGCGAAUGGGUCCCCGCGUAUCCCUUGGUACCACCUACGGGGGAUUCAACGCGCACAUACACACACACAGACAGACACACAGACACACAGACACACACACACACAGCCACGCACACACACAGACACACACACACAGACACACAGACACACACACACAGCCACGCACACACACACACAGACAGACACACAGACACACACACACACAGACACACACACACAGACACACACAGACACACACACAGACACACACACAGACACACACACAGACACACACACACACACACACACACACACAGACACACACACAUAUAUGCGUCCGCAUCCCUUCUCACUGCUAGGUUACAUGUCAGGGUCGGGCUGCUUUAAAAGGCUGCACACAAAACCAGUCGGCAAGUAGUGGUGGUUACUGUGCGCAUGGAGUACUCACAGGUGAACUGUACGACAGGAACUCCUCCACAGCAUCCACAACAAAGAGCCCCGUCACCGCUGCCGUCUGCGCUGCCCUGAUGGUCAGGUAGCCAUCGCCGCCUGACCAGAGGGAGUGGGGAGGGCCGGGGAAGGGCGGAGAGGUAGGUUAAGGGUGGGAUGUAAGGGUGUAUUGGUAGGCCAACAUCACCCCCAUUUCAGGACAGACCCUAGCACAGGACAGUGCUACGUGUACUGUGCUAGGGGACUCAACAACUCGGUAUCCGGGCCCCAAAGCAGCAGCAGUAGCUGCAGCAGCUGCGAAUCCAGAUUGACCCACACCAAAAGUUUGGAAAACAGCAAAGGAGUUCAACAGGGGAAGAAGUAACGCAGAUGAUGGUUUUCCUCAAUGGCAAAGUAAGGUCGUUGAGGCAAAAGUGUAACGAACCAACACGCUGGGCGACGCUGCCAGCAUCCGUGUCAACGGGUACCCUAAUAUUAGGGCAACCACCGCAUCUAGGCCGUACAGCUGUACGGAGCCCGUUGCAAAAGGCUGUUGGAUUCACAGCGUUACCCUAAUAUGUACGGCACCUGAUGGGUAGCGACGCUACCAUGCUACAGUACUAUAUAUUACAGAAAGGUGUGUAUGUAUUUGUGUGUAUGUGUGUAUGUGUGUAAAACAUCACUAGCAGGCACGUGAUGGUGUUCCAUUGUCGCACUCACAUUGCUUGUGCGCCGCCGUUAAUGUUUGUGUGGGGGCCCCUACCCCCUAUGUUCUUUGUGCCGUUCUAGCGAUAUCCUCCGGACACCUGAGCAGCACAGCCCCCCAUCCGUCAAGUCACACACUUACCCGCCGCCAUAUAAUCGUUGGUCACCAAUGCGUACUGGGCGCAAGGAUCGACGGGCGAGUACGAACCGUCCCCGUUCGCAACCUCAAUGGCCGACACGCGCUGGUUGACCGGCUUGGUGGCGUCGUACGCAAAACGGAAGCCGCCCACCUGUCGAAUAAAGUGAAAGGAUGCAGUUACAUUAACAAACACAGCAAGCUGAAGGAAGCCAUUGUGGACGAGCCUCCGUACUUGUUUCCGUACGCCAUGUCAAGAGCUAGGGUGUUUGGACCUGCUAUUAAGACUUCUACCGUCGGCCCGUUCACACAUCAAGCAGUCGUACACGCAUUAACGCCGGUACGGCAGAUGGCCCUCGGGCCUUAACCCUUGCCGAGCCCUGUGGAAUAAAAUCCGUAGUCUCGUUCAGCUGAUCUUGUCUGUUCCCACCGUUUUCCUUCCUAAAGUGCAUAUCAUCUUACACAGUGCCGUACAUAUUUCCCCUCCGGUUUCUUCACUCAGCCUCUAAGCUGCCGUAAGGCUGGACACCGGUACCGAUCAGCGGCCCGGAUGGUGUUGCGGUCUUGAAGGAACACCCCAUCGCAGGACGGAUGCGGUUAAUAGUGCCAACUGCCUACUGCCAACUGCCAACCGCCAACUGCCAAAUUGCAGUACGGAAAUGUAUUUGCAUGGCCUAUUGUCACCAUCAUGUACCCCGUACACGGUAUCACCUCACCUGUGCAAACUGCCCGAUCGCCUCGCCCCCGGCAAUGUUGCCCUCAACGCUGUUCUCGAGAGCCGAUUUGAGGCCCCUGACGGAAAUGCUCUUGAUCACCAGGGUGUUGCCGUACGGCAGGGCGGCCGCGAUUUGGCCUGCGGUGUUGGUGUUCCCAUGUGUCAUUUUUUGUUCAACACCGUUUAUUAAAAACUUAUUAAACUAAGUAAUCAAUUAUUGACACUGUUUUCUGUGUGAGCUGCUAGUUCGGACCGUAUGUUGCAUGAACUGCAUUGGAAUCGUUGUUGAUGGGGUUGUGUUACACUGUGGGCGGCUCGUCCCGAUAAAGGACGAGCACGGGGGGCCUGACCGGGGACCGAAACACAGUGCAGGGUUGUAGGCUGUUACAGAGUGGGAGGCUUCUGAGCCACUUGAACACAAAGGAAUUGUGCCUGCAUUGCGUGACCCUGUCUACGAUAUGUAUGUACCGUCUCCGCAUACACAUCGGAAACGGUAAGUGCCCGGGUAGUUGCGAUGCAGCGGACACAUACAUUGAACAUGCCUACUGUGUACGACGCCGUACAUUCAGCAUACCUCCGGUCACCAGUCCAGCAGGGAUGUCUGCGCGAAUCGAACCAGAGUUCACCAUGCACAAAUCCGGCCUCACGCCUGUCGUCAUCUGUUCAUAUACGCCACCAUUUUAAGAAAAAGGAGGGAAGAGGGGUGCAAGGAGUAUAAGGGUGGGAGUCCCUUUGGGACAAGGCUUGGGAACAAUGGACGGCACGCAGCAGGACGGCACUGGCCCCAGCAUGGCGUAUUAUUCGCAUGCAGGUACGGCAGCACAGAUCCAUUUUCUGCGAUUUACAGAUGAUGCAUGCGUUUGUUUAUACAGAGCGUGUACGCCAUCCAAGAACCGCUUGCAGAUAGCAUCAGUCGAGUUGGUCAAAUAAGCUGGUCUUGCAGACACGCGUCUAGAUGCCCCGUGUCAGCGUGGGUGGGUUUUAGAACAUGCGGAUUUGGAGCUGAUUUCACGUUUGUUACAGGGCCCCGGGGGUCCCGUCCCCCACUACUACAUGUGAACCUUCGCGCACCUCGGCAUACCACAUCAUGGCGUCACAGACGAAGUCACCGAUGGGGGCCUCGCCCAGGCGAACAGUGGCCUUGUCGGAAACCAGGGUGUGCGACAGAGUGCCCAGUGCGCAGGAGGCGGUGGAGACGGGCUCCGCGGAGCAGAUGCCGCUGCUGCCGCCCAGGUCGCAGCGGUUGAUGCGGCCCUCGGCAGCAGCGUAGCCGGUGACCUGCAGGGACAGGAAGAGAGAGCCGUGAGGACCAUCGGGCAUGAGAAAGACGCGUGUGUGUGCACUGCGGCUCCAACCGCCCCACAUACAACGUAAUCACUAGUCACGCCAUACGUGCUUUAGACACUAUAAAUGUUUAGACGCUAUAUCUAUCUACCAUACAGGAUAUGCUCGGUACGCAACUUAUCGUACACGCGGCAUAUGCUACAUAUGCUACACAAGGGUUAGCGUAUAAACGACCUAUGAGACACCAGAGCCACACUCGGUAGCAACAACGGUAAAAGUACACGUUCCAAAGCCUGGCAUGAAUGGGGGCGCGGGGACCUGCUGAGGGGCGAAUGGGUCCCUGCGUAUCCCUUGGUACCACCUGCGGGGGAUUCAACGCGCACAUACACACACACACACACACACACACAGACACACGCACACACAGACACGCACACACACAGACACACACACACAGACACACAGACACACACACACAGCCACGCACACACACACACAGACAGACACACAGACACACACACACACAGACACACACACACAGACACACACAGACACACACACAGACACACACACAGACACACACACAGACACACACACACACACACACACACACACAGACACACACACAUAUAUGCGUCCGCAUCCCUUCUCACUGCUAGGUUACAUGUCAGGGUCGGGCUGCUUUAAAAGGCUGCACACAAAACCAGUCGGCAAGUAGUGGUGGUUACUGUGCGCAUGGAGUACUCACAGGUGAACUGUACGACAGGAACUCCUCCACAGCAUCCACAACAAAGAGCCCCGUCACCGCUGCCGUCUGCGCUGCCCUGAUGGUCAGGUAGCCAUCGCCGCCUGACCAGAGGGAGUGGGGAGGGCCGGGGAAGGGCGGAGAGGUAGGUUAAGGGUGGGAUGUAAGGGUGUAUUGGUAGGCCAACAUCACCCCCAUUUCAGGACAGACCCUAGCACAGGACAGUGCUACGUGUACUGUGCUAGGGGACUCAACAACUCGGUAUCCGGGCCCCAAAGCAGCAGCAGUAGCUGCAGCAGCUGCGAAUCCAGAUUGACCCACACCAAAAGUUUGGAAAACAGCAAAGGAGUUCAACAGGGGAAGAAGUAACGCAGAUGAUGGUUUUCCUCAAUGGCAAAGUAAGGUCGUUGAGGCAAAAGUGUAACGAACCAACACGCUGGGCGACGCUGCCAGCAUCCGUGUCAACGGGUACCCUAAUAUUAGGGCAACCACCGCAUCUAGGCCGUACAGCUGUACGGAGCCCGUUGCAAAAGGCUGUUGGAUUCACAGCGUUACCCUAAUAUGUACGGCACCUGAUGGGUAGCGACGCUACCAUGCUACAGUACUAUAUAUUACAGAAAGGUGUGUAUGUAUUUGUGUGUAUGUGUGUAUGUGUGUAAAACAUCACUAGCAGGCACGUGAUGGUGUUCCAUUGUCGCACUCACAUUGCUUGUGCGCCGCCGUUAAUGUUUGUGUGGGGGCCCCUACCCCCUAUGUUCUUUGUGCCGUUCUAGCGAUAUCCUCCGGACACCAGAGCAGCACAGCCCCCCAUCCGUCAAGUCACACACUUACCCGCCGCCAUAUAAUCGUUGGUCACCAAUGCGUACUGGGCGCAAGGAUCGACGGGCGAGUACGAACCGUCCCCGUUCGCAACCUCAAUGGCCGACACGCGCUGGUUGACCGGCUUGGUGGCGUCGUACGCAAAACGGAAGCCGCCCACCUGUCGAAUAACGUGAAAGCAUGCAGUUUCAUCAACAAACACAGCAAGUUGAAGGAAGCCUUUGUGGACGAGCCUCCUUACUUGUUUCCGUACGCCAUGUCAAAAGCUAGGGUGUUUGGACCUGCUAUUAAAACUUCUACCGUCGGCCCGUUCACACAUCAAGCAGUAGUACACGCAUUAACGCCGGUACGGCAGAUGGCCCUCGGGCCUUAACCCUUGCCGAGCCCUGUGGAAUAAAAUCCGCAGUCUCGUUCAGCUGAUCUUGUCUGUUCCCACCGUUUUCCUUCCUAAAGUGCAUAUCAUCUUAAACAGUGCCGUACAUAUUUCGCCUCCGGUUUCUUCACUCAGCCUCUAAGCUGCCGUAAGGCUGGACACCGGUAGCGAUCAGCGGCCCGACUGGUGUUGCGGUCUUGAGGGAACACCCCAUCGCAGGACGGAUGCGGUUAAUAUGCCAACUGCCAACUGUCAACUGCCAGCUGCCAACUGCCAAAUUGCCAAUGGUUCACAACUUGGAUCCCGUUGCAGUUCGGCGGUGCAGAAGUAGCUACUAGGCACCAUAAGUAACACAUGCACACAUGCAUCCUGUGGGGAUCAGCUGCACCGUCAUGUACACGGCCACGGUAUCACCUCACCUGUGCAAACUGCCCGAUCGCCUCGCCCCCGGCAAUGUUGCCCUCAACGCUGUUCUCGAGAGCCGAUUUGAGGCCCGUAACGGAAAUGAACUUGAGCACCAGGGUAUUGCCGUACGGCAGGGCGGCCGCGAUUUGACCUACGGUGUUGGUUUUGUUCGUUGGAAAUAGAUUGAUUAAAUUCAAGGCCUGGUUAAACUUCACUGCGACAUGGACAGGUUGUAGCGCCAUGAUCACCAACAUCGUGUACACUGUUCCACGCCAUGCAUGGCCGUGUGCAACCGUGUACAGCCAUGUGCAGCCAUGUACGACAACCUACGUAUUUAUAUAAAUAAUGUUAGUCCGAAUAAUGGUUAGAUGUCAUUGCAGUAGCAAUCCAGCUCCUGGACAUACGGCCAUGGGCGUUAUGCAUGGUUUCCUUCAUCCCUUAGUUUCUGACCGCAUCAGUAUUUUACCAGCAGCCAGGUAUCCUGUGCUGCAAUAAUUAGCAUUAACAAUACCCUUUGCAAGUCUGUCUACAAUGAUAAUCCUACCUAUCAGCACUCAUGGCCGUACAUGCAAUGCCGUACACUGAAUGCGUACCUGAGGUCACAGGUCCCGCAGGAAGAUUCGCGCGGAUCGAACCGGAGUUCACCAUGCAGAAAUCCGGCGUUGUUUGGAAAUAGCGCUGUCGAUAACGACAGGAACAAGCACGGAUAAUGGGUUGUUGGGGAAUCGUAAUUGAUGGGUAUUAUAAUCAAGGAACUGCUAAGGUCCGUCCCGACAAGGUCGGACAGGGCGGCAAACGCACGCGCCGGCACCGAACAAAGAGGUGUUUGGUACACGCGAGCACCGCAACAACGUACGGCAAAACAAGGCAUCCAUUACUUAAACGCGCAUGUUCUGAAUCUGAACCUUGCUAUUAGGCGCAGCCCACCAGACCGUCUUCAUACUUCAGGAUGGAUGGCAGUAGCGCAAUGGACGUCGGUGUGAUCAUAUUAGCGCGUACGAUGGGGAGAGUACGUGAAGGGAUGUUGGUUCCGUUCGUAUCCCCCAGCUCCCCGUCCUCACCCUGCGGGCCCCUCCCUCCCUCCCAACGCACCUCUGCAUACCACAUCAUGGCGUCACAGACGAAGUCACCGAUGGGGGCCUGGCCCAGGCGAACAGUGGCCUUGUCGGAAACCAGGGUGUGCGACAGAGUGCCCAGUGCGCAGGAGGCGGUGGAGACGGGCUCCGCGGAGCAGAUGUCGCUGCUGCCGCCCAGGUCGCAGCGGUUGAUGCGGCCCUCGGCAGCAGCGUAGCCGGUGACCUGCAGGGACAGGAAGGAAGAGCCGUGAGGGCCAUCGGGCAUGAGGAAGGCACGUGAACGAGGGAAAUCAAUGUGGACGAAGUAACGGAGCUUUUGAGAAACGCUUCUUUGACGGCGCGCAUGUGCCGCCCUGUCCGACCUUGUCCGUCAAUUUCAAAUUAUGACGGAGUUAUGGUGACUGAUGAUGAGCAGCGGUCGGUGUUUGCUAUAGCGCUGCAUUGCCAAAGCUACGAACAGGCCUAGGCCAAGGCCCCAGUCGUUGUAA